rnacentral:rRNA from 1 species
AUGCCCUAUUUGCAAGAUGGAAAACCCAUUGAUAUGGUCUUCAAUCCCUUAGGAGUACCCUCCCGAAUGAAUGUGGGACAAAUAUUUGAAAGCUCACUCGGAUUAGCAGGGGAUCUGCUAAAGAAACAUUAUAAUUGA